GACGUAGGAUGCAAGCGUUGUCCGGAUUUAUUGGGCGUAAAGAGUUCGUAGGUGGUUUGUUAAGUCUGAUGUUAAAGACUGGGGCUCAACCUCGGGACUGCAUUGGAUACUGGCAGACUUGAGUGCGGUAGAGGCAAGUGGAAUUCCAGGUGUAGCGGUGAAAUGCGUAGAUAUCUGGAAGAACACCGGUGGCGCAAGCGACUUGCUGGGCCGUAACUGACGCUGAGGAGCGAAAGCAUGGGGAGCGAACAGG
rnacentral:rRNA from 1 species